GGAGGUGAAAGGCACUUCUUACAUCGCAGCAGCAAGAGAAAAUGAGGAAGAAGCAAAAGUGGAAACCCCUGAUAAACCCAUCAGAUCUCAUGAGACUUAUUCACUAUGAGGAGAAUAGCACAGGAAAGACCAGCCACCAUGAUUCAAUUACCUCCCCCUGGGUCCCUCCCACAACAGGUGGGAAUUCUGGGAGAUACAAUUCAAGCUGAGAUUUGAAUGGGGACACAGCCAAACCAUAUCAGAAACAUUGAUUAUUUUUAUAUUUUGUUUUCCAGAGUCAAGGAAACUUUUUUGGAGCUAUUUAUGGUUUACAGCAAUUUGGAAACAUUGGAAACACUGGUUAUUUUAUCAAGGCUUUGACUGGAAUGUCGUAUUUUCAAAGGGGACCAGAUUGCUUUGAGGGAUUGAGGUCAACUUUAUAAGCCAAUAGCCUUAGAAAAAGACUGGCCUGGUACCUUGUCUGCACAGGUCCCUUACAGUGUUUCUGACCUUAUGGUAAGUAAAGAAUGUCACUUUCUGACAGGACUAGGAGCGUCAAGAUAUUUGGAGGACCUUAAGAAGACAGAAAUCACCCAAUUCAUUCAGGUGAUACAAGCACAACCAGAGGGUGAAUCCUUGGCUUGGCUUCCUAGCCUCAAAAGAUUUUUGAAAGUCUAAUCAGAGAUUCCUCAUGAAAAUGGUCCAGCAAAGCAAGCUUAAAAAGAGCUUAUACGACAAUCACUAUUCUUGCUGUACUUCAUGCAAAUAAUUAGGCCAAGGAUAAUAAGACUAAAACUUAUUUUGCAAAUAAAUUGGUCCUACUAUGAUUUAUUUUUGGCGGAAAUGGGGGAUUAGAGAGAGAAAAAUUAUGCUUCAGAAGAAAGCUAUAGUAUACCUGUUACUAGAUUUUAGUCCUGACCAUUGGGGUGGUUUUUAUUGUUUUGUUUUGCUUUGUUUUUUGAGAUGGAGGCUUGCUCUCUCACCUGGGCUGGAGUGCAGUGAUGCAAUCUCAACCCGCUGCAACUUCCACCUCCUGGGUUCAAGUGAUUCUCCUGCCUCAACCUCCUGAGUAGCUGGGAUUACAGGCAUCUGCAACCACACCCAGCUAAUUUUUGUAUUUUUUAUAGAGACAGGAUUUUACCAUGUUACCCAGGCUGGUCUCGAACUCCUGACCUCAGGUGAUCCACCCACCUCAGCCUCCAAAGUGCUGAGAUUGCAGGCAUAAGCCACCAUGCCUGGCUGAUUUUCCUACAGUUUGGACUGAAUCCUGAAUUCUUUCCUUGCAACAAGUCUCCAAACUAACAUUUCCUUCCACGUUUUUCUCCCAUUUUACUGACUUGGAACACUAGAAAUUAAAACUGAACUUUUUUUAAAGUCCUGCAAGCUGAAACUAGACAAUUUUAUAUAAAUGUUGGGUUAAAGCACUACAGCAACGUAAUAGACAAACAGCCUUCAUGCCUGUCGAUGUAUAGAUUACACAGAAAGUUCACUGGAAUGCCUGAUGCAAACUGCAAACCAGGAAAACUGUCAGAUUCUCACUGUCUGCUCUCUUUAUCUGCAGGUGCUUUGAGCCCAGCACCUACAAUUCUUCUCAACUGGCUGCUCUCUAGACUCAAAAAACUGAGUUUAUAGUUUGC
rnacentral:lncRNA from 10 species